rnacentral:rRNA from 1 species
GUAGGGAAUUUUCGGCAAUGGGGGAAACCCUGACCGAGCAACGCCGCGUGAAGGAAGAAGUAAUUCGUUAUGUAAACUUCUGUCAUAGAGGAAGAACGGUGGAUAUAGGGAAUGAUAUCCAAGUGACGGUACUCUAUAAGAAAGCCACGGCUAACUACGUGCCAGCAGCCGCGGUAAUACGUAGGUGGCGAGCGUUAUCCGGAAUUAUUGGGCGUAAAGAGGGAGCAGGCGGCACUAAGGGUCUGUGGUGAAAGAUCGAAGCUUAACUUCGGUAAGCCAUGGAAACCGUAGAGCUAGAGUGUGUGAGAGGAUCGUGGAAUUCCAUGUGUAGCGGUGAAAUGCGUAGAUAUAUGGAGGAACACCAGUGGCGAAGGCGACGAUCUGGCGCAUAACUGACGCUCAGUCCCGAAAGCGUGGGGAGCAAAUAGGAUUAGAAACCCCGGUAGUCC